GCACUGUAGUCAGAGUUUGAUCCUGGCUCAGGAUGAACGCUAGCGAUAGGCUUAACACAUGCAAGUCGAGGGGUAACAUGGGAGUAGCUUGCUGCUUCUGAUGACGACCGGCGGAUGGGUGAGUAACGCGUAUGCAACUUGCCUCUUAGUGGGAAUAACCCGGAGAAAUCCGGACUAAUACCGCAUACACUUAGUUAUCCGCAUGGAUGAUUAAGGAAAGAUUUAUCACUGACAGAUGGACAUGCGUCCCAUUAGCUAGUUGGUAGGGUAACGGCCUACCAAGGCAACGAUGGGUAGGGGAACUGAGAGGUUUAUCCCCCACAUUGGUACUGAGACACGGACCAA
rnacentral:rRNA from 1 species